rnacentral:rRNA from 1 species
GGGGCUAGUAUGAAUGAAUAAACAUUUUCUUACUGUCUCAUUUAUAAGCAUAAAAAUUUACCUUCAGGUGAAGAGGCCUGAAUUUAUUAAAAAGACAAGAAGACCCUAUCAAGCUUUAUUUUACUAUAUUUAUUAAAUAUUUAAAGUUUAGUUGGGGCAACAAAAUACUAAUUAUCAUUUUUAUUUCUAAAGGACUAUAUUCCUAUAAUAUAACCUAAAAAUGACUAAAAGAAAGCUACUGUAGGGAUAACAGGCUAAUACUUUUCAAGAGUCCUUAUCUACAAAAGUGAUUGGCACCUCG